rnacentral:rRNA from 1 species
CGGAUCGCAGGCUGCAACUCGCCUGCGUCAAGUUGGAAUUGCUAGUAAUCGCGGAUCAGCAUGCCGCGGUGAAUACGUUCCCGGGCCUUGUACACACCGCCCGUCACACCAUGAGAGUCGGGAACACCCGAAGUCCGUAGUCUAACCGCAAGGAGGGCGCGGCCGAAGGUGGGUUCGAUAAUUGGGGUGAAGUCGUAACAAGGUAUC